rnacentral:ncRNA from 2 species
GCGCCACAUCAAGAGUUGGGGCGACGCCCAACGCCAACCUGCCGCAUCCGGGCAAGGUGGCACUCCCUCGCGAUCCCUGCGAUUGGGAAGAUGUGGCCGAGCCGGCAAUCAAACGGAUCACG